GACACUGCGAGCUUGACGGCGGUGGAAGGAGAAGCUGUGGUGGUGCCCUGCAGGACUACCAAGUUUGUCCCUCCUGGAGGAUCCUUCGCCUUCUCCUCGGUUGGAGUAGGAAUUUCGUGGACUAAAGAUGGCGAAGCGAUCAAGUUUUCCAAAAAAUUCGAGUCUCUGGCCAACGGGAGCCUCGCUGUGCGCUCUGUGCAGCGUCAAGACGGCGGCCUCUACACCUGCACUAGCACUAGUGGAACUAGCACCACCCGCCUGCUAGUGACUAGACCCCCAAAGAUCGAAGGCUUCAGGUUCCCCUCGGAGCAGACUGAGGGUAGCCGCAGUCAAGUGUCUUGUGUGGUGACAUCAGGAGACCUUCCCCUUACCCUCACCUGGCUGUUGGACGGCCGCCCUCUACACCCUGACCCUGCCAGGCAACU